AAUAAACUCAUUAAACCAUUAAAUUUCCUUAAAUAAUGUUUCUGGCAGUUCUUGAGACCAGAGACUACCUCCAUCUAAGGAAAUAUGUAUUAUGUAUCUGAUCUGAGAAAGAAACUAACCUUUCCACUCACCCCUGAAAUCAAAGUACUCUCUUUUU